AAGACUAUACUUUCAGGGAUCAUUUCUAUAGUUUGUGACUGGAGGAAUGUGUUCUAAAGUGUAUGAACUUGCUAACCACGAGGAAGAGGUUAAGUGUUUUCUCCUUAGCGAGAAGUGAGUUUACAGUGUUGCAGAACUGCAGCUGCUGUUAAGCUGUUGAUGACCGUCCCUAUCUCUUUUCACAGGAGAUAUGGAGGGAGAAAAACACAAACUGAGUGGU